rnacentral:tRNA from 1 species
GGCUAUAGCUCAGGUGGUAGAGUGCUUGUCUUGCAUGCACAAGCCCCUGGGUUCUAUUCCCAGCACCA